rnacentral:lncRNA from 1 species
CUCAUCCUUAGUGCUGGGUACACGGCAAUAGCCCCUUUGUGAAAUUCAUCAAACGGUGGACACUUAGGGCAUGUACAUCACACUUAAAAAGUCUGCAUUAAAAUAGAGGGUCAGGCUGGGCGUGGUGGCUCACGCCUGUAAUCCCAGCACUUUGGGAGGCUGAGGCGGGUGGAUCACCUGAGGUCAGGAGUUCAAGACCAGCCUGGCUAAUGUGGCAAAACCCUGUCUCUACUGAAAAUAAAAAAAUUAGCCAGGCGCAGUGGCACAUGCCUGUAAUCCCAGUUACUCAGGAGACUGAGGCAGGAGAAUUGCUUGAACUCAGGAGGCAGAUGUUGCAGUGAGCGGAGAUCGCACCAUUGCACUCCAGCCUGGGCGACAAGAGCGAGACUCUGUCUGAAAAAAAAAAAAAAAAAGGUGGAUCGUGAGGUCAGGAGUUCGCGAUCAGCCUGGCCAACAUAGUGAAACCCCGUCUCUACUAAAAAUACAAAAAUUAGCUCCUCCCGAGUAGCUGGGUCUACAGAGUGGCAUGCCACCACGAGCGGCUAAUUUUUUGUAUUUUUUUUUAGUAGAGAUGGGGUUUCACUGUGUUAGCCAGGAUGGUCUCGAUCUCCUGGCCUUGUGAUCCACUCCCAAAGUGCUGGGAUCACAGGCAUGAGGAGACAAAUGGGAGAGCUGCCUGGGAGGGCCGGGCAGAGCCAGUUCCCUUGCACAUUUGCCACACCAGACCCAUGUCUGUAGGGAGCGCCCCAGGGCUCUGGUGGGUUGUUAAUUACAGCAAACGUACAUUAUCUCUGGAUAAUUCGAGCACGGGAUUCUUUUGCCUAGGGCUGAAAAGAUGUGUCUGCUAGCCAAGUAGGGGGAAAGCCCGUGAAGCCAGUCUUCUCUGCGAAGCAGAGCUCAGCUCUUGCCCUCUCACAUCCUUUGAAGAUGACCACCUUGAAGAUUAGGAUGAAAAGCAAACCCUCGGCUCCUGGCCUGAGCUCUUGGCAAUCAUGUCUCUCACCAGGCAGGAAGCAAAAGAAGAUUGUUUCUGCACUCAUUUGUUUUCAGAACAGUGGAGCAAACAGUCAUUUACUGGUCUCCAUAGACACUGAAGAGACACCAGGUGGCGGUGACUCUGCGGGUUGCAAAUGUCCCCAGCGUCAGAUUCAUAUUAUUUCCCCUGACCCCCUCUGUCCUCUGUGGAUGAGGAGAGCUGGGCAGAACACCUUGGUGGGGUCUCAGGGCUCCAGCGGUGACCACUGCUGGGUCGGACCAGCAAAUGGAAAGGAGCCCACGUGUGCUCUCUGUGGCCCGGGCGGUAAAGAGGAGGUGGAUCCCGGGGCUGUGGGUGAGAGCAGUGGGAAUACCAGGUACUAUUUCUUCCCUCCAUUAAUCCUCCCAAAAGAUUGCUAUGUCUGCACCAAAGUCCCUGCUUAAAACUUUGGAACAAGAAUGUAGCUUCAACGGCCAGGCGUGGUGGUUCAUGCCUGUAAUCCCAAUGCUUUGGGAGGCCAAGGCAGGCGGAUCACCUGAGGUCUGGAGUUUGAGACCAGCCUGGCCAACAUGGAGAAACCCUGUCUCAGGCCGGGCACGGUGGCUCACGCCUGUAAUCCCAACACUUUGGGAGGCCAGGCUCAGGCCCGCCUGCGGGCUGGUCCCCAUCCUUCCUCUUAGACCCCGCGAGGGUGAUGCAACCUUCGCAUACUGCGGUUGCGAGGCUCCAAGGCCGCCUUCUGCGCGGGAGGAGUGACCCCUGGCGGCCGACGCAGACAUUGCGGGCUUGGUGCUUGGACUCAACUUCUGAGCUGUGUUGCAUCAGCCAACGGGCCCUAAGGAAGCUGAAUAAUGCCUCAGGCUUCCUGCCACCCUGCAGGCCGGGAAGUUGGCAGGUGUGGCGGGUGGGGUGAGGGGUCCGAGUCCCAUGGCCUAGGACGUUCAUUUCUCCGAGGCUCGGUCUCUCCUCUGGUGGGACCAUGUCUCGAAGAGCCCCUGGCUUGGCUUCUGGAGCUGGCGGCCAGGUAGGAGCCCCCAGGAAAGCUCCAUCGGCUGCUGCUGAGCCGAGCUCUCCUGAACCCGGCCUGCGCUGCCCCCAGCGCACCUGGACCACAGACCCAAGUGAUGUGAUAUGAAGAGGGAAUGAAACGCUGACAGGGAGCGCUGGCUCACGUCUGUGAUCCCACCACUUUGGGGGGCCGAGGUGGGUGGGUCGCUUGAGCCCAGGAGUUUGUCACCAGCCUGAGCAGCAUAAUGAGACCCCAUCUCUGUACAAAAUAUUACAAAAUUAGCCGGGCGUAGUGGUACACGCCUGUGGUCCCAGGUACUUGGGACGCUGAGGCGGGAGGAUUGCUUGAGCCCAGGAGACAGAGGCUGCACUGAGCCGAGAUGGCACCACAGCACUCCAGCCGGGGAGACAGAGCGAGACCCUGUUCCGAAAGAGAGAGAGAGCGAGAGGGAGAGCGAGAGGGAGAGAGAAAGAGAGAGACAGAGGAAGAAGAAAGAAAGAAAGAGAAGCCACCAGGAAGAUCAAGGAGCCAGGGCCACCCUCACGUUGCCUAGGCAACAGCAUCCGUGAUCAGACUGUAAGGCAACUGGGACCCAUGCGUGCUCCCCGGGGGAGGCUGCAGGUUCACGUCGGUGUCCGGUAUCUUACAGAAUGUUCUUAAUCUUCACGUGCUUCUUCUGAGAUCAGUGAUAAAGAAGACACGGAUACAGCAAGAAGGAAGGAGGCCCUGUGCACGACACU